rnacentral:rRNA from 1 species
UACGUAGGUGGCAAGCGUUGUCCGGAAUUAUUGGGCGUAAAGCGCGCGCAGGCGGUCCUUUAAGUCUGAUGUGAAAGCCCACGGCUCAACCGUGGAGGGUCAUUGGAAACUGGGGGACUUGAGUACAGAAGAGAAGAGUGGAAUUCCACGUGUAGCGGUGAAAUGCGUAGAGAUGUGGAGGAACACCAGUGGCGAAGGCGACUCUUUGGUCUGUAACUGACGCUGAGGCGCGAAAAGCGUGGGGAGCAAACAGG